UACGUAGGGUGCAAGCGUUGUCCGGAAUUAUUGGGCGUAAAGAGCUCGUAGGCGGUCUGUUGCGUCGGCUGUGAAAACCCGGGGCUCAACUCCGGGCCUGCAGCCGAUACGGGCAGACUAGAGUUCGGCAGGGGAGACUGGAAUUCCUGGUGUAGCGGUGAAAUGCGCAGAUAUCAUUUGGAACGCCAAUGGUGAAAACAGGUAGCUGGGGCUGUGCUGACGCUGAGACACGAAAGCCAGGGGAGCAAACGGG
rnacentral:rRNA from 1 species